UGGGUGUGGAAGCGUGGCAACACGUGAAGCUAACCAGUACUAAUUGAUCGAUCGGCUUGAUUGAUC
rnacentral:rRNA from 1 species